CAAGGAAGCUGUCAUAAGUUGUAAAUGUAUUAUUAUUAUUACACCAACUUCAAAAACUAGAUGGAUUAGUCGGUAAGUUGGGACAUUUCAUAUAUUGCUAUUGUACCGUUUAUGUCAAAAUUCUCUCCAGUCGAAGGUCUAAAUCUGACUGUCUUUAUGUCCCUUUAGAAGAAGCAGCUUAUCAAAAAGAAUAAAAUCAAACUCGUGGAAUGGCUGGGGCUUGAUCGAAACCUUGUUUUACAACAUGUCAAUUCAGAGAGCAUUAUAACUGAUGGUGAAUAUAGAAAAAUAAAAAGCAUCCCAGACCCAGAUACGGCAAAUGGUGACCUCCUUGACAUGUUGUAUAACAAGGGAGAGGAUACUUGUGCAAAAUUUCUUCGCGCGCUCGAGGACGACAGGAUUAAGGAAACAUAUCCUGACCUUGCCAAAUGAGGUUGGUGUCGUCCCUAUCAGAUGGAAGUAGGCCUCAACAGAUGUCUCAGCAGACUUUGAUAGCCUGAUACCAGACAAAAAGACAUUUUUAGAGAAGAAUUGCGGUUCUCUUAUUAAGUCAGUG